rnacentral:rRNA from 1 species
UGCCAGCAGCCGCGGUAAUACGGAGGGUGCAAGCGUUGUUCGGAAUUAUUGGGCGUAAAGCGCGUGUAGGCGGUUCGUUAAGUCUGAUGUGAAAGCCCGGGGCUCAACCCCGGAAGUGCAUUGGAUACUGGCAGUCUUGAGUAUGGGAGAGGAAAGUGGAAUUCCGAGUGUAGGAGUGAAAUCCGUAGAUAUUCGGAGGAACACCAGUGGCGAAGGCGGCUUUCUGGACCGAUACUGACGCUGAGACGCGAAAGCGUGGGGAGCAAACAGGAUUAGAUA